CGGAAAGUUCGUUAAUUUGCAGUGCCUUUUAAAGUGAAUUAUAGGUGUCUAAAUCAUUGCAUUUAGUUAAAUUUAUAAUAAAAGUGAAGAUGGAGAGUCACCCAAUACCAGAGACUAAUAGAUACACAAGAAAGCGGCGAAGAAACACAGAAAACUGGAAGAAGAAUGUGGCCAAAAAAAUGAGGUAUUCAGCUCCAUCUACUGAAACUAAUUACUGUGAAGAGUUAUUGGCUGAUACUAGCGAACUGCGUAUUUGAAAAUACGACUCACAGUUACAAUCGUCUGGUCAUAAGUAAAUUUGUAAUGAGAAAAGUAAUUUAUUACUGUUUCUAAGAAAGUCUAAUUUGAGGCUCAUUUAUGUGACUAAACAUUUUUAUUUUAUUAAAUAAACAAUGAGUAAUAUUUUU